AUGAAGGAAGAGCCAGGAGCAGAGGGACCAAGCAGUAUUGGAGACCACCCCCGAGGCAGCUGAAGAUAGAGCGGGGGAGAGGCAUCGUUGAUGAGGCCUAAAACAUUCAGUGGGCAAGGAGGUGCUAAGGUCAGGCCCACUUUUAUAAACGGGCAGGCUGGGCAUAUGCCCAGGGGCGCCGGAGGAUUGGGGGCGUCCACCGGGUGCCCCUCAACCACCGCCUGCUUGCACUAGGAAAAAAGGGGGCGCUGCUUUUGGGUUUGCCCAGGGCUCCACUGACCCUUAACGCGGCCCUGGCUUAGGUAAGAACGUGCAUCCUGCAUAAACCAACCCUACACUGCAACCAUCACUUUAGUCCACUACCUAAAUGUUGAGUGUGUUAUUGGAUCACUGUUAAGGCAACAAAAUCACACUCUAAACCGCGACACUGAACAAAUCUGUUGACAGGGUGACCAACCUUACAAACAAACAAGAAGAAGAAGAUGACCUGACUCACUGGUGCUGUGCUGCUUGCAUUCCACAGGCUCCGUACCUACCCUGGGUGCUGCUGGGAUUCUCAGUUCUGCUGGACAACCCUAUCUGGGUGGACCUCAGUAGGAAGAUUAUCGGGCAUUGCUACUUCUUCUUAGGGGAUUCCACACCUAAACGGAGGAUUUAGAUUUUUCAAGACUCCUCAUUAUGCUGUUCCAGUUACCAGAGAAAUGUUAUAUAACUACACAUAUGGAGAGGGAGUGAGAGAUAGUGUCUGCUCUGGUCAGAACUCCGUGAGACACUGAAACUUUGACAAACAUCGGAGCGGUUGGACUACUUAACAACAUCCAGGAUUCAACCCAACCGAGAACUUCAUGAUUUGUCCACUCCAAAUACCUCUACCAUUGUCUUGCAGCCGUGUGGUCACACUGAAUUAUCAAUUGUAUAAAA